GAGACACCUGCAUGGAGCAGGACUUGCUUCAGUGGAACUUUGGUGCUCACUGAGUCUACCCCUUGAGUGUGUUGCU
rnacentral:pre_miRNA from 1 species